UACGAAGGGGGCUAGCGUUGCUCGGAAUUACUGGGCGUAAAGGGAGCGUAGGCGGGUUAUCAAGUUGGAGGUGAAAGCCCAGGGCUCAACCUUGGAAUUGCCUUCAAAACUGAUAGCCUAGAGUAUGAUAGAGGUAAGUGGAACUCCGAGUGUAGAGGUGAAAUUCGUAGAUAUUCGGAAAGAACACCAGUGGCGAAGGCGACUUACUGGAUCAUACUGACGCUGAGGCUCGAAAAGCGUGGGGGAGCAAACAGG
rnacentral:rRNA from 1 species